UUUUCUCCAAUGGGCGCAAGCUUGAAGGAGGCGACGCCGCGUGGAGGAUGAAGGUCUCGGAUCGUAAACUCCUGUCAUUUGGGAACAAACUUCCCAGUUAACUGCUGAAGACUGAUAGUACCAGAAGAGGAAGGGACGGCUAACUCUGUGCCAGCAGCCGCGGUAAUACAGAGGUCUCAACCGUUGUUCGGAUUCAUUGGGCGUAAAGGGUGCGUAGCCGGUCGUGCAAGUCGGAUGUGAAAUCUCAGGGCUCAACCCUGAAACUGCAUUCGAUACUGCGCGGCUAGAGUGCUGGAGGGGAGACUGGAAUUUACGGUGUAGCAGUGAAAUGCGUAGAUAUCGUAAGGAAGACCAGUGGCGAAGGCGAGUCUCUGGACAGCAACUGACGCUGAGGCACGAAGGCCAGGGGAGCAAACGGGAUUAGAUACCCCGGUAGUCCUGGCAGUAAACGGUGCACGUUUGGUGUAAGCGGAUUCGACCCCGCUUGUGCCGGAGCUAACGCGUUAAACGUGCCGCCUGGGAAGUACGGUCGCAAGAUUAAAACUCAAAGAAAUUGACGGGGGCCCGCACAAGCGGUGGAGUAUGUGGCUUAAUUCGAUGCAACGCGAAGAACCUUACCAGGGUUUGACAUGCAUCUCUAAGGCGGUGAAAGCCGUCGAGUGUAGCAAUACACAAUUUGCACAGGUGCUGCAUGGCUGUCGUCAGCUCGUGUCGUGAGAUGUUGGGUUAAGUCCCGCAACGAGCGCAACCCCUGUGUCCUGUUGCCACUCCUUAAUUGGAAGCACUCUGGACAGACUGCCCUGUGAAACGGGGAGGAAGGUGGGGAUGACGUCAAGUCAGCAUGGCCCUUACACCCUGGGCUGCACACGUACUACAAUGCUCAGUACAAUACGAGCCGAAGCCGCGAGGUGGAGGAAAUCUCGAAAACUGAGCCCAAUUCGGAUCGCAGGCUGCAACUCGCCUGCGUGAAGCUGGAAUCGCUAGUAAUGCCGUAUCAGCUACGACGCGGUGAAUACGUUCCCGGG
rnacentral:rRNA from 1 species